rnacentral:rRNA from 1 species
AGCGAACGCUGGCGGCGUGGAUAAGACAUGCAAGUCGGACGGGAACUGGCGGGUAGCAAUAUUCGUCAGUUCUAGUGGCGAACGGGUGCGUAACACGUAGCUGACCUACCUCGAAGUGGGGGAUAGUCCCGCGAAAGCGGGGUUAAUACCGCUUGUGGUCGAGAGACUAAAACCGUGGAUCGUAAGACCAGGUGCUGCGAGAUGGGGCUGCGGCCUAUCAGCUAGUUGGCGGGGUAACGGCCCACCAAGGCGAAGACGGGUAGCUGGUCUGAGAGGACGACCAGCCACACUGGAACUGAGACACGGUCCAGACACCUACGGGUGGCAGCAGUCGAGGAUUUUUCUCAAUGGGGGAAACCCUGAAGGAGCGACGCCGCGUGGGGGAUGAAGGUCUUCGGAUUGUAAACCCCUGUCAUCCGGGAACAGUGGUUACGACCUAACACGUCGUGACUUGAUAGUACCGGAAGAGGAAGCCGUGGCUAACUCUGUGCCAGCAGCCGCGGUAAGAC